UCCGGUCUCUACGGCGCACUUCUCCGGUCACAGGGCGACGUGAUUCACUAUGGAACAUCAUACAUAUGCGCAAGAAAAUUCAAUCAUAAAAAGUAAAUUAGAAAAAACAACCAAAAUAUACCACCCACCAUUGUUGCUGCUAGUAAGCUGUUACUUUCAUCGAUCGGUUCUGCACUCGAGUUCAUUGGAAUUGGAAGAUUCAUUCGAAGAUUCAUCGGAAUUGAAAGAUAAAGAAGGGCGCUCCUGCUAUCCUUUGAAGUUGGUUCAGAAGUUGAAGUUUUAGCUGAGAAGUUCCUGUCCUGGACAAAGUGAACAAGUCAGACAUAGCGAAGGAGAUUCUAGAGGUGUUGGUGACUAGUAGUAGCAGAUAGAUAUUCUUUGUUGAUUAAGGUAACAUUUUUAUUUUCUUUGAUCUCUUUCUUUAAUGCCAUUUUUUUUUGCAUGGGUAUAUAUUUGUAUGUAAUUUUGUUGGAUUAUCAUCGAGUUUCAGACCUAUAGUUUUGAUUUCUUGUUGUUAGUGAACUUGAAUAUAUUUCAAUGAUUGGCUUGUCGAAAUUGAAAAAUGGUUAAUUUCUAU